rnacentral:misc_RNA from 1 species
GCUUUAUACUAAUGAUUCCUAAAAUAUGUCUUAUUAUUCCUAAUCAUGUUAGGUUUCUACAUGUAUAUUUAACUAAAUUGAUUCCAUACAAACUCAUUUGCAUUUGCAAAACAAGUAGAAAGAAAUAACUAAGUCUAGCAUGCAUAUCAUCUUUUUAACAUAUGCAUCCUUACUAAGUCUAAUUACAUGCCAAAGGUUCAUUUGAAAACUUU